UAGAAUAAAAUAAAGAGUAUGUGAAAUAUGCUCCAGCACCCCCCGUGACCCGAAAGGGACAAGUGGUAGAAAAUGAUGGUUGGAUGUAGCGCUUGGCUUCACUUCGUCUAUUGUGGGAGAAGAUAAAAAGACGGUGUAUGUUUUGUGUAACAUUAUUAAGAAUGUUAUUUUAUGCAGAGGUGUACUUAUAACAAUUUUAUUGACAAUAGUAUUUACAAUAUUUGCGGUGGACAAUUGGGGGGCGUGAAAAAUGUUCUGCCUCAGGGGGGAGUGUCACAGAAAAUAAUCGAAAAGCACUGGUCUAUACUAACCUGACAGAGUCUUCAAAUACGAUUCAAUAGUGAAGCUACUUGCAGACCUGGAUGAGAACAUUAUACCCUAUUAAGUUCUUUUGUGGAACAACAUCAAAUCUUCUGGUCUGGAAAUUGUUUAAACAUAUGGUUUUCCCUGUCAUUCAUGCAUCCUGCACAAAAAUAAGAGUGUCACAGGAGUAAUGAAUGAUGGCAUAUUAUUGACACGUUGUAUAACAGUAAGAUUCCAUACCUUAAACAAUGUGGCCUUACCCAAGUUUGUGUUGGCUUUCAAACAUGAACAACUAAAUAUUUCAGAGUCAGAAUCCUCUCUGUAGACAGGUCCAUCAUUCCACAUAAGAUCAUAUCCGCCCAUCCUCUUUUCUUUCCCAGUCAACCUAAGGAGGUACAGCCCUGUUCAUGUCUGCAAUAUCGUCAUCCAUAAGUAAAAUAUACAAACGGAAAUAUAUCAGCAACACUUCUCGUAAUUUACCUUUUCUCCAUAUCCACAAUAUUUACAGUAUCUUCCAGCAGUCUGUACUUCAUGUCGUAAUCCUCCUGACUGCUGGGUGCGAGCGACGGAGAAGCGUUUACCUCAAUCAACCACCUGCCAUAAGACGAUGAGCAAGGCCAUGUAUACACAUGUUAAAGACGACAGUUCAUGUCAUGGCAUAUGUUUACCAAGUAUUGUCAAGCAAGAGCGGAGUGGAGUGGAAAAAGACUAACAUUUCAGUCGAAGCUUCUUACACAAACAAUGAAUGUUGAUGUGCAGAGAAUAAUCCGACAGUUUGGCAAAUCUAAACUCACGGUUUGAGGUUCUUAUCCAGCAAAAUGUCGUAGCCGUAGAGUUCAAAGCAGUGUUUGUCAUUUAUAAUAAUCUUCUGCACACUCUGUAGACUGCUGAUGAAGAUGUUAUCCAUCUCUGUAAACAGAGUUUCAACCACCUGUAUCCCAUGCUUUGCGGUCAGGUACUUACGCAGUUUCUGGAUCUUCCAUUUACAUCCCUGUGUAAAGUCCAGCACAAGCUGAUUGAACACAUGCAGACCAGGGUGGGAUCUUUCUAUGCCAGGAUCUUCUCUGCUCUGUCAAGGCAGUGAGAUUGAGCAAUAACCUCUAGGGAAGGCAGAGGGUGGCCGAUAAUCUUCUCCGCUGUCCUGGUCACCCUUUUCGGACCUUUGAUGGUUCCUUUCAAGAUUUGCCAGUGAGCGAUCGACAGAAAACAUGGAAUGGCUUUAUUAUCUUCUAACAGCAGGUUGAACGCAUGCACACCAGGGUGGGAUCUGUCUAUGCCAGGAUCUUCUCUGCUGUCGAGGCAGUGAGAUUAAGCAAUUACCUCUAGGGAAGGCAGAGGGUGGCCAAUAAUCUUCUCCGCUGUCCUGGUCACCCUAUUAGGGCCUUUCUUUCUGCAGCAGAGCAGGCAGCAAAACACACAGUAACCGAUUAACCCCUUUACUACUGUGACCCCAGGUGGCCCUUGCCAAAGACAGUACCUGACUGCCCCCUAGCCAGGGAUACAGUGGAGACCUCAAUGGGAGAGCAGGCGGAAGGCAGUAGAUUUAAGAACUACUACAAUGGCUGCGAUGGCGGAAAAAAAGCUGCAGCAGAAAAGGGUCCCCAGUAAUCUUGUACUCCAUGCCACUGGACCCUGACCCGAUUCUGUCAAGGAUUGUGUGGUGACUGCCUUUGCACCAGUCUCCCCACGUUAAACAAAGUCACUCACAGGCAUCCUCCUUAAAGGGAUACACCCCUACCAGGAGGAUUGUCAAACUCCUUCGAGUGACCGCCGAUGAAUGUACUCUCGUCUACCCCUAAUGUCAGCAUGGACGCUAAGUACCUCAAAAGGCGGCCCCAACCCUUCCCAGUCUCAGUUCCGCCUCCUCCCAUCUUGCCGACGCUGUCACUUUCUUCUUGUGCAGUGGACACGGCUAUAAGGCUACCCACACACUGCUUGAGUGUGGAACACGGCGCAGCAAGAGAAAAGAUGCACAACACAAUACGGCAAAUGUGAAUUUUUUUUAUUCAACACAAUAAAUUUUAAAGCUUACAUUUUCUUCUGGGAUUGAAAAUGUUUAAAAAGCCAAAUGAGCUGGCUUGCCCUAUCAUUUUCACACCCUGCAAAAAAAAAAAAAGGAAAACACACUUUCUCAGUUCACAA